rnacentral:sRNA from 1 species
CUCCUCGCUGCCCAUUCUCUGCUCUGGGUUCUGCCUGAUAGAGUGGGGCCUGCUUCUUCACUCUGUCUGCUUCACUUCUCCAGAGCAGGAGGAGGCAGCGGAAGAGGAUGCUGAAGCAGAGGCUGAGACUGAGGAGACCAGGGCAGAAGAAGAUGAAGAAGAAGAGGAAGAGAAGGAGGCUGAAGAUGGCCCAAUGGAGGAGUCCAAACCAAAGCCCAGGUGAGUGGGGAUGCACCUGGGUAGAGCCGGGAGCAGAGGCUCAGGGAGAGAGGAUGACGAUGGAACAGGGUGCAGUAUGGGGCAGUGGACACGGGCUGGGGGUUUGGUGGGCACAGACCACCACAGUACAGUUGUACAAGUUGUGUACUGCACAAGCGUCUCUUCCUAAGGGAGUGAGUGAGGGCUGAAUUCCACCCAACACUCCAUCACCAAUUGUGCACCCUAGCAGGGACAGGGCUAUGUUCUUCUAAAGGAAGGGCCCUGAACAGACACUCUCCUCUCUCACAGUAUGGCCAGAACACCCUCCUCCAUGACUGAGGUGGGACCUUGGGAUAAAGGGAAGCAAAUUGUGGGGAGCCAAACAAUGAAACCAUGCCAGCAUAGGCAUGGCGGCUUCAGAGAGCUGAGAGAGGGCAGGGCAGCUUGGUGCCACACAGGUGAAG